AGCGAACGCUGGCGGCAGGCUUAACACAUGCAAGUCGAGCGGGCAUCUUCGGAUGUCAGCGGCAGACGGGUGAGUAACACGUGGGAACGUACCCUUCGGUUCGGAACAACUCUGGGAAACUGGAGCUAAUACCGGAUACGCCCUUAUGGGGAAAGGUUUACUGCCGAAGGAUCGGCCCGCGUCUGAUUAGCUAGUUGGUGGGGUAACGGCCUACCGAGGCGACGAUCAGUAGCUGGUCUGAGAGGAUGAUCAGCCACACUGGGACUGAGACACGGCCCAGACUCCUACGGGAGGCAGCAGUGGGGAAUAUUGGACAAUGGGCGCAAGCCUGAUCCAGCCAUGCCGCGUGAGUGAUGAAGGCCUUAGGGUUGUAAAGCUCUUUUGUCCGGGACGAUAAUGACGGUACCGGAAGAAUAAGCCCCGGCUAACUUCGUG
rnacentral:rRNA from 1 species